UACAAAUCUACUGACUUGUACAAAAAUGAGAUUAAAGAGCUGUUCCAUAGAUGUGAAAAUUAUAUGGACUUAGGAGGUGGAUAUGCAGAGGAGAAGAGUUGGAGGACCAAAUUUCAGAUCCUUAACACAUUUGUGUCACAAUAAGGUUAAGAAAUUUUUGGCCUCCCUUUGUAUAUACUUGUGUAUGAAUACAAGUAUAGAUAGUUCUUGGUUUAUGAAUUCCCACUUAAAAUGUUCUUGGGUUACAAGUUUUUUUUUAUCAAAUAUGAAGUAUCAAAAAAAUUGACAAUAUAAACCUUAAAUGUAAUAAAUAAAUGCUAA
rnacentral:lncRNA from 1 species